UUGACCUCUCCCACUGGAUCUUGAGACCAUUGCUCCUUGUUCUGCCAUCCAGCAAGGAUUACUCAUUUUCCUGAGCAGUGUCUAGAACAAAGGAAAAGUGUUCCUUCAUAAUGGAGUAUGUAUGGAGUAAGUGUAUACAUCUAAGGCCAUGUCGACACAUCUGCACUGCUGGUGAAGAUGCUCUAUGCUGACAGACAUACGUUUGCAACAUAGGCUGUAGGUUGACAGUCUAAAGAACCACAAAUAAAGGUAGCAUAUGCAAGUCCUUUCCAUUUUAAUAUUUUGUCCUUCCUUUCCCCUCCCCUUCCCAGAAUUGCAGAGAUUAAAAUUCAUUUGAGUCAGGACUCUGUAAAGGUGGGUUAUUAACUAAAUACUUUAAGAGCAUCAGUUCUUAAGCUGUGGGUCAGGAUCCCAAAGUGGGUUGUGAUGCCAUUUUAAUUUAAUUUUAAUGGGGUCACAAGGACUGACAUAGACUUGCUGGAGCCCAAGGCUGAAACCUGAACCUCACUUUUCGGGGCCAAAGCAGAGGCUCAUGUUCUAGACCCCCAACCUGGGGCUGAUGCCAUUAGACUUUGGUCCCCUGCCCAGGGUAGAAGGGCUCCAGCACACUCAAGCUUUGGCCCCCCUUCCUGGGGUUGUGCAGUAAUUUUUGUUGUCAAAUGGAGGUAGCAGUGCAAUACGUUUGGAGCUCCUGCUUUGAGAGAACAGUUUCAAUUUACGGGAGUGGAAAAAAAGUGCCUCAACUGUUGGGGGGUUUUUGGUAGCAGGGAGCAGAGAAGCGAUUUUGCAACCUCUAGGCAAAUGAGUGAAAACAUCCACAGUGAUAGCAUGGAUGCAAUAUUUCUACCUGACCUGAUUUCACAGCACACUUCAGUUACAUCCUCCUUUACAAACGUAAGAUGCAAUGUGAGGAAGGGCAUCCACUGUAAUGCAACUGUGCUACUCUAAGAAUCAAGGUUUUUAACACAAGCCCGUUUGUGUAAAUGUUUGCACACUAGCUAUCCUCUUCCUCCUGCCUUCCACUGCAAAAUACCCGUAUUACGUCAUCAAAUACUUGAGGGCAAAAACAUCUUCUCGGAUGCUGAGUGGUGUAAUGAGAUUCUUUGGAAUGUCUACUCUCUAUAUAGCACAGAUUAUUAUUACCCUAAUAGUUUUCUUAGGUCUGUUUUCCUCCAAGUGUUACCACUAACAAAGAAACUACAUUGUACAACACUGAAAAUGUAAAGCAUUGUAUCUGGUAAGUGUGAGCAACAAUGGCUGUACCAAAUUGUAAACUCCAUUUUAUUUUGUGUUUUCCACUGGGAGUGCUAACUGCCAGUUUGUAUUCUGUGUUGCAAAAGCAGCGUGGCCUUGGUCCUGCCCAAAAGGAUGAAAUACACUGUGAACAUGACUUUCAGUGAGACACCCAUGAAGGCCAACCAACUUUGUGUCAACAACCGAUCUAUCCAUCACACCAAUGAGUUGUCUACAAAGAAGUCCUGGCACCUGUAAAAGGGGGUAUCACGAAUGUUUCCUCUAAUCUUUUCCAUCCACGUGCAGAUAUUUUCCAUAUUUGUGUGGAAUUUUUUGUGUACACAAUGGGGCAUGUGCAAGUGUGCACCACCUGUUGAAACAAAAACCUAGCUGUGUGCGCUCUGUUAAUUAGCUAGGCAGCCUCUGAAUCUUUCCUGAGUGGCUGUACAAGCACACAGCUUACAGGCAACACUGCCCAUGCCACGUGCCAGAAGAUGGCCUGGACAGUGUGCCUUAAAUACGUGGAGCUAGAAACAGGAAGCAUGUGGGAUUCAACAGUUGGGUCCUUUUGGUGGUGAGCAGGGCCAGGUUGUGACAGUAACGCUAUGUUUACAAACUUCUGCUGGUCAUGAUUAAGCAGACGUGUUAUCCAUGACCAACAGCUCUGCUGGCAGAAGUCUGUGAUUUAGAUGCAGCCAUAAUGGAUGAAGGCUCCUCCUUUCAAAUGGACAUGCAAACAAUUACCAAUACAAUAUUCAGGCAUUAAUGCCAAUAAUCUGUCCCAUCACACUGUAUAAUUAACACUGAGAAUGCAAAGAUUUCUUAGUAUCCGGCUUUUACAAGUUCCCUUUCCUGUUUAACAAAUAUAAAACAACUUCCUUUCUGCAAUUAACAAAUGUUCCUUCUCCAGCUAGUGCCAGUGAUGACUGGUCUAAUGUGGAUGAAAGAAAGGUAACUGAUUCUCACCCUGUCUCUCAGAGGGACUGUUCCAUUUGCAGGCCCAGCCAGCUCAGUCAAGUGCAGGCAAACACUUCUCACAUGUGUAAGAAUUAAAGAUGGUGGAAGGCAACAAACUGCAUCUGAAGCUAUUAUCCCUUCACAAAAGAGAACAAACUCCACAGGCUCCUUUUCAAUGUUUCGACAUUUCUGAUUUUGUGCUUUAUGCUUCGUCUGAGCUGCAAGGUGCUUAGUACCUAAUAGACUUGACCCAUUACCAAGUGUGAUUUUUCUUAAUGUUUAUUUUUCAGUUUGAUGAAAAGCUGUCACUGUGCCAUUUGUGACUGGCUCCUGCAUUACACCCUCAUUGCUAUGGGCUCCUGAGUUGGAGAAGAGCAGGCAGGAUGGCAGAUGACACAGUGCCUUUGGACUAGGGAUGCUGCCCAGGAUCCAGUCCGCUGGCACUAGGAAGAAGGUGUUCAGGCUGAGGACAGACUCCUACACCUCCAUGGGGCUCUCUGGUCCUUCCUCUACACCCCUUCCUAUUCCUUCCUGGUGGGCAUUUCUGUGAUUUAUUCCCUCAUUUACCACUGGACAGUCACAGAAGGCGUUUUCCUCUAACUGGAUGAGACUCUCUUCUCCUGCACAGCAAUGAAUGUGAGGAGGUCGGACUAGGUCCCUUCUGACCUUAUUAAAGUCUAUGGGUAUGUCUAGACUACAGAGUUUUGUCGACAGAUUCUGUGAAAAAUAAACUUUUUUUUUAACUAUUAACUUGUGUUUAUAACUGUGGUACGAGGGGGGA